rnacentral:rRNA from 1 species
UGAGUAAUGUCUGGGAAACUGCCCGAUGGAGGGGGAUAACUACUGGAAACGGUAGCUAAUACCGCAUAACGUCUUCGGACCAAAGUGGGGGACCUUCGGGCCCCACACCAUCGGAUGUGCCCAGAUGGGAUUAGCUAGUAGGUGGGGUAAUGGCUCACCUAGGCGACGAUCCCUAGCUGGUCUGAGAGGAUGACCAGCCACACUGGAACUGAGACACGGUCCAGACUCCUACGGGAGGCAGCAGUGGGGAAUAUUGCACAGUGGGCGCAAGCCUGAUGCAGCCAUGCCGCGUGUAUGAAGAAGGCCUUCGGGUUGUAAAGUACUUUCAGUGGGGAGGAAGGCGUUAAGGUUAAUAACCUUGGCGAUUGACGUUACCCGCAGAAGAAGCACCGGCUAACUCCGUGCCAGCAGCCGCGGUAAUACGGAGGGUGCAAGCGUUAAUCGGAAUUACUGGGCGUAAAGCGCACGCAGGCGGUCUGUCAAGUCGGAUGUGAAAUCCCCGGG